AGAGCGAACGCUGGCGGCAUGCUUAACACAUGCAAGUCUCACGGGCAGCAAUGUCAGUGGCGGACGGGUGAGUAACGCGUAGGUAUCUAUCCAUGGGUGGGGGAUAACGUCGGGAAACUGACGCUAAUACCGCAUGACAUCUGAGGAUCAAAGGCGCGAGUCGCCUGUGGAGGAGCCUGCGUACGAUUAGCUAGUUGGUGGGGUAAAGGCCUACCAAGGCUACGAUCGUUAGCUGGUCUGAGAGGAUGAUCAGCCACACUGGGACUGAGACACGGCCCAGACUCCUACGGGAGGCAGCAGUGGGGAAUAUUGGACAAUGGGCGAAAGCCUGAUCCAGCAAUGCCGCGUGUGUGAAGAAGGUCUUCGGAUUGUAAAGCACUUUCGGCGGGGACGAUGAUGACGGUACCCGCAGAAGAACGCCCGGCUAACUUCGCGCCAGCAGCCGC
rnacentral:rRNA from 1 species